rfam:Capsicum annuum cultivar Zunla-1 unplaced genomic scaffold scaffold2555, whole genome shotgun sequence
GAGAGCGCAGUACAACAAAGAGUUGUAUGCUACGUUCGGGAAGGAUGAAUCGCUCCCGAAAAGGAAUCGAUUAAUUCUCUCCCAAUUGGUUGGACCGUAGGUGCGAUGAUUUACUUCAU